CACGAAUCGGCACCCUAGCGCACAGGCACGCGCACUGGCAGGCGGCCGGCGGCGGUGGGCGCCGUCAUUUAUCCGGGCUCCGGUUUCCGGCGGCAGACGGCAGCAAGCUAGCAAGCGCCACUACGACUGCGAGUCUGACCAGCAACAGCAAGGGCGCGCGACCUCUUGGCCCUCCUCCAUUCUCCCGUUGUCUGCAAAUUGUGGCUCCGACCUCCAUUCAAUAGCCAAGAAGCAAGACAUCAUUCAAGAAUGGAUAGAAAGGGGAAGGGAAAAGAUUUGAGGAAAUACUUUGUACCAAUUGCUAGUGGCAGUAGCCAAAACCAAGCACCCAUGAAAGUGCAAAUGUUAUGAUACAUGAAGAGGAGCAGGAGCAAGAAGUGGAAGGAGGGACUAGAAAUUCUAUGGGGGGCGAGCAAGUGGAAGAAGGAACCAAAGAUUUCGUCGAAACCAUAGUGGAAGAGAAUGUUGAGGUCCCAGAAGCUACAGGAGGAGCUUCACUUCAGAAUCGGUGGGUGGCAGUAUGGGCCGUUGAGCCAGCCAUUGGCCACCCGUUCGUUGGCGGCUUCGCUUAGGUGCAUACCAUCCCAAGAGAGGUAGCUCGAUGGGUCAUGGCAGACGCUCGCGCCAUCCAUCCCGCAAAUGGCACCCAGAUCGAAUCCGUUUGGUGCGUCGCAUUUCCGCAACAGCUUGUGAGGACAGUCUCAAAGCCUGCACAAAGAAACCGGACCGAAAAUGAGGUGAUAAUUAGGGUUCACAAUUUCAUUUUCAGUCUGAUUUUGGAAAUGACUGAAAUAACCAAAAACAAUUGUGAUCUUUGUUUUAAAUUUGAACAAACCAAAGAACUUAUGUUUGAAUCUUCCGAAAUUACAAACAAAUUGAGCAAACUUGAUUUCAUUUUGAACCCGGCCCAAUUUCAAGUGACAACAGUUUUUUACCAGAACAUAAAUAUUUCAGUACCCGCUGAAAUGGUGAAAUUUUGGUCAUAUCCCUGAGCCUACUGAUGUUUGAACCAUCAAAUUUAUUUGAAGCUCCUAACCAGUUAUUCUUUUAGAA